AUUGAACGCUGGCGGCAGGCUUAACACAUGCAAGUCGAGCGAGUGGCGGACGGGUGAGUAAUGUAUGGGAACCUGCCUGAUGGAGGGGGAUAACUACUGGAAACGGUAGCUAAUACCGCAUACCAUCAGAUGGGCCCAGAUGGGAUUAGCUAGUUGGUGGGGUAAAGGCUCACCAAGGCGACGAUCCCUAGCUGGUCUGAGAGGACGACCAGCCACACUGGGACUGAGACACGGUCCAGACUCCUACGGGAGGCAGCAGUGGGGAAUUUUGGACAAUGGGCGCAAGCCUGAUGCAGCCAUCCCGCGUGUAUGAUGAAGGCCUUCGGGUUGUAAAGCACUUUCGGCAGGGAGGCGUUACCCGCAGAAGAAGCACCGGCUAACUCCGUGCCAGCAGCCGCGGUAAUUC
rnacentral:rRNA from 1 species